GUUAUACAUUUACAGGAAAAGUCUGGCUUCUUCGAGAGUUGCUUACAGACAGUGCCAGGCCUGUCCCCUCUGGAGACCUGAAGGGUCUGGCCUUAAGUAGGAUCCAGGGCAACUCUCUGCUUUCCCACAUGAAUAGACCUGCCUGGAUGCCUCUGCUCAUCACCACCUCUAUAAAACAAACAGAUUCUCCCAGGACAGAUUCCAUACGUUCAGGGCUCAGGGUGCCUGAACCCAGAAUUCAUUAAAAGCAGUGAAGGGGCAAAAACGGGAGCAGAUGUCAGCAAAGCACAACUGCACUUAGCAAGUUCACCUUUCCAUCCAGAGUUCCUUGCAGGAGGGGCCAGGAGGGAACACAAAACCCUCCUCACUUCCUGAUUUUACAAUCACUCAGCUAGCGGCUACAAUCAGGGUCACUAAUCACAGCUGUUGAACCAGGCCGCCACAUCCUGCCACCAGCAGCCCCGGAAGACACUGUGCAGAGCAGGAGGCAACCCUAUGCCACUGGUUCUCUGGUGUGCAGAGAAGUCUCCAAAUCAAAGAAACCUUAAUGCUUAGUGACAGCUUCUCGUUAAACAAGGUAAACAGUGGUCCAGUGAAAACAUUCUCAAUGUUGCUGAGAAUGUUUCCCUCAACACACUUCUUUUUGGGAGCCAGCUCAGAGGCCCAGCUCUGUGUGCCUUGUGGGUUCAGCUCUGAUUUCUGGGAGCCCUGGGAAUGUAGGAGGUUUGGACCCUGAGAAGUCCCUGGGCCGGCAGUGCUGUGUGUCAGUGUCAAGGCAGUGCAGUGGCAUGGGGCAAGGCCUCUGUGAACUAGUCAGCGGGGAAGGGGCGGGAGGGCAUUGCCAGGUGCCCAAGGCUAUCUCCAGUGCCAGAGCUCCUCCCUCCCCGUCCCCACAUUAUGUGACCAAAGGUCUUUGGGUGUUGCUGCCGGAUGGUGGGUCUUCUGGUCCAGCUGCUCUCUAACACCUGAUGCCCUUUUAUCACCCUCUGUCUCUCAUACUUCCCAGGCCCCGGCCUGAGCCCCAACCCAGGCAAAGUCCCC
rnacentral:lncRNA from 1 species